rnacentral:rRNA from 1 species
CAUGCCGUAAACGUUGGGCACUAGGUGUGGGGGCCAUUUCCACGGUUUCCGCGCCGUAGCUAACGCAUUAAGUGCCCCGCCUGGGGAGUACGGCCGCAAGGCUAAAACUCAAAGGAAUUGACGGGGGCCCGCACAAGCGGCGGAGCAUGCGGAUUAAUUCGAUGCAACGCGAAGAACCUUACCAAGGCUUGACAUGCACUGGACCGGGCUAGAGAUAGUCUUUCCUCUUUUUGGGGCUGGUGUACAGGUGG